UUUUACUCUUCAUAAGAUUAUUCGGUACAUAUACAUGUUUUCCCCCCUAUUAUAAGCAUGUUUGAGACGUUGCUUUAAAAGAUGAGUUUCAUGUAUGCUUUCAAUCAUUUCAGGUUUGCCAUUUCAUGAUCAUGCAUUUGUCUUUCCUUUUUAUAGAUAUAUGACCUUCAAUGUUCUUUUUUAGAUAUUUUUCUUGGCGUUUUUAGAAAGGUCCAAUCACAUUUUUCUGCACGGAUUUGUAUUGUAGUGUCAUGAGUUAGUAGGAGGGAGAAAGGGAAGGGAGAGAUCUAAGAUGAUGUGGAGGGAAGUAGUAUCAAAUGAUCUAAAGUUUUGGAUAUUGAUGCAGACUUGGUAUCAAACAAAGCUGAAUAGUGAGAAAGGAUUCAUAUAGUAGACCCUAACUAGUUUGGAAUUAAGGUUUAG
rnacentral:misc_RNA from 1 species